CAGCGCGCUGCCCGGCGGGCUCGGCCACCAGGCCGACGUCCACCCACACUCCGGCAGUCUGGUGGACUACCUGUACGACGCAAACCUGACGCUGGCGCUGUCGGCGUUCGUGUCGUGCUGCCCGGGCCCGGACGUGGCCCAGCUGUCGGCGCUCUGGCGGCGCCACCGGCCAGCUAUGCUGGGCUUCAUCGCCCAGCAGCAGGGCAUACAGGGCUUCGUGACGGACCAGCAGAACGCGCCGCUGGCGGGCGCCGUGCUCACGGUGAACGGCUCCACCUUCACCACCCGCACCGGCAGCGACGGCCAGUUCUGGCGGCCGCUCACGCCCGGCGUGGUGACGGUGCAUGUGUCGGCGCCGGCCCACCUGGCC